AGACCUGCAUUCGAUACGGGCGAGCUUGAGUAUGGUAGGGGAGUCUGGAAUUCCUGGUGUAGCGGUGGAAUGCGCAGAUAUCAGGAGGAACACCAAUGGCGAAGGCAGGACUCUGGGCCAUUACUGACACUGAGGAGCGAAAGCGUGGGGAGCGAACAGGAUUAGAUACCCUGGUAGUCCACGCCGUAAACGGUGGGCACUAGUUGUGGGGACCUUCCACGGUCUCCGCGACGCAGCUAACGCAUUAAGUGCCCCGCCUGGGGAGUACGAUCGCAAGAUUAAAACUCAAAGGAAUUGACGGGGCCCCGCACAAGCAGCGGAGCAUGCGGCUUAAUUCGACGCAACGCGAAGAACCUUACCAAGGCUUGACAUAUACAGGAAUAUGGCAGAGAUGUCAUAGCCGCAAGGUCUGUAUACAGGUGGUGCAUGGUUGUCGUCAGCUCGUGUCGUGAGAUGUUGGGUUAAGUCCCGCAACGAGCGCAACCCUCGUCUUAUGUUGCCAGCACGCUAUGGUGGGAACUCAUGAGAUACUGCCGUGGUCAACACGGAGGAAGGUGGGGAUGACGUCAAAUCAUCAUGCCCCUUAUGUCUUGGGCUUCACGCAUGCUACAAUGGCCGGUACAAAGGGCUGCAAUACCGCAAGGUGGAGCGAAUCCCAAAAAGCCGGUCUCAGUUCGGAUUGGGGUCUGCAACUCGACCCCAUGAAGUCGGAGUCGCUAGUAAUCGUAGAUCAGCAACGCUACGGUGAAUACGUUCCCGGGCCUUGUACACACCGCCCGUCAAGUCACGAAAGUCGGUAAUACCCGAAGCCGGUGGCCUAACCGUAAGGA
rnacentral:rRNA from 1 species